rnacentral:rRNA from 1 species
UACGUAGGGAGCAAGCGUUGUCCGGAUUUAUUGGGCGUAAAGAGCUCGUAGGCGGUUCAGUAAGUCGAGGUGUCAAAUCUCCGGGCUCAACCCGGAGCCGCACCCGAUACUGCUGUGACUAGAGUGUGGUAGAGGAGCGUGGAAUUCCUGGUGUAGCGGUGAAAUGCGCAGAUAUCAGGAGGAACACCAACAGCGAAGGCAGCGCUCUGGGCCAAUACUGACGCUGAGGAGCGAAAGCAUGGGGAGCAAACAGG